AGAAUUGUUAUUUAUUCAUCACAUACAUACUUGUUUAAUUGCUCCUAUAUGAUAUGUUUGGACUGUAGACCUGUGACCAUACUGGACGAAUUGUGUUAUUGGCACGUGAGUUGUCCAUAAAACAUACGGUGGAAAUUAGGAGUACAUUGCUAAUAUAAUAGUUAAACCAUCCUAUCAUACAUGAGAAAUUGGGAGAACACUACUACAUUAGGCAGAUAUCUAGUCAAGAGCGUGAAAUAUCAUUUUGGAGAUAUUUCUAAAUUAAUACUAUACUAAAUAAGAGUAAUAUUUGCAGUCAACAAAGCAUAAAAGAGGAGUAAAGUGGUGUAUCGUGGCCACUAACAAUAGUCAGAAAGCACAUUAGAGUGGUCAAGUGGUUCACCGUCCCCAACCCCACAAAUAAAGAAAAAGUCGCACCAAGUACUCCAACCAUUUCGACUUUAUAUUUUUAUGUGGACUAGAAAGUU
rnacentral:lncRNA from 1 species